AUACGUAGGGAGCGAGCGUUGUCCGGAAUUACUGGGUGUAAAGGGAGCGUAGGCGGGAGUGCAAGUCAGAUGUGAAAUACAUGGGCUCAACCCAUGGGCUGCAUUUGAAACUGCAUUUCUUGAGUGAAGUAGAGGCAAGCGGAAUUCCUGGUGUAGCGGUGAAAUGCGUAGAUAUCAGGAGGAACACCGGUGGCGAUGGCGGCUUCCUGGGCUUUUUCUGACGCUGAGGAUCGAAAGCUUGUGGAGCAAAUAGGAUUAGAUACCCUGGUAGGCCACGCUGUAAACGAUGAUUACUAGGUGUGGGGUGACUGACCCCUUGCGUGCCGCAGUUAACACAAUAAGUAAUCCACCUGGGGAGUAAGGCCGCACGGUGGAAACUCAAAUGAAUUGACGGGG
rnacentral:rRNA from 1 species